GACCAGGACUCCUUAAAUAGGGUAUGAGCAAAAUAUUGCUCAAAGAGGGGAAAAUGAAGGAAUUGAAACAGUUAAUCUGUUAGUAUUCUAUAAGGUGAAUUAUUUUGUAAAUGUAGUAGCAAGCUCUUUUGCAGAACCGCUUACAAAACAUAACUGAAAGGAAGUCACAAGCUAUGACAGUUUUUACGUAUCAGGAGAUGCUUAACCACAAU